GGCUGUGUAGUAACAGUGCUGCUUGAUUAAGAUCGGCUCGCGCUGCAUUGGUCCAAAUUGAUAAACGGUCCGUCAACCACACAAUAACGAGUAGCGUUAGCUCAGUUUAGUUCCGCUUACAUUACAUUUGUCAUUUGAUGUUGGGCAAUGUUGUGGUCACGUCAGCAUCUCUUACAUUAUGAGCACGCUUGACACACAUUUGAAAUAACAAAAUUUACGAACCAUUUGGUUCAAAAAUGCGUACCGAAAACCAAACCGAAAGCCUCGUACUGAACGGUUCAAUACGAUUACGUGAAUCAUUACACCCCUAAUACAUAAAUACAUGCAUCAUCUUCCGCUUAUCCGGGGACGGGUUGCUGGGUAGUAGUCUAAGCAGAGAUGCCUAGACUUCCCUCUCUCCCAGAAACUUCCUCCAGCUCUUCCAGGGGGACACCAAGGACAACCAGGAGACAUAAUCCCUCCAGAGUGUCCUAGGUCUUCCCAGGGGUCUCCUCCCAGUGGAAUGCGCCCUGAACACCUUCCAGAGAAUGUGUCCAGGAGACAUCUGGAACAGAUGCCUGAGCCACCUCAGCUGGCUCCUCUAUAUGUGGAGGAGCAGUCGGCUCUACUCUGAGCUCCUCCCGAGUGACCGAGCUCCUCACCCUAUCUCUAAGGGAUCGCCCAGCCACCCAGCGGAGAAAGGUCAUUUCGGCCGCCUCUAUAUGGGAUCUUGUCCUUUCGGUCAUGACCAUAAGGGUGAGUUGGAACGUAGAUUGACCGGUAAAAUCGACAGCUUGGCCUUGCAGAUCAACUCCUUCUUCAUCACAACAUACCGGUACAUUGACCGCAUUACUGCAGAAGCUGCACCGAUCUGUCUGUCAAUCUCCCGUUCCAUCCUUCCCUCACUUGUGAAAAAGCAAAAAAGCAGAGACGAAGUCGUGUUGUCGCCAAACCCCAAACACCCUCCUGCCCCUGGCUGCGCCUAGAAAUUCUGUCCAUAAAAAUUGUGAACAGAAAUGGUGACAAAGGGCAGCCCUGCCGGAGUCCAACAUGCACCAGGAACAAGUCUGACUUACUGCCGGCAAUGUGAACCAAGCUCUUGCUCCGGUCGUACAGGGACCAGACAGCCCUUAGCAAAGGACCCUGGACCCUAUACUCCCAGAGCACCCUCCACAGGACUCCGCGAGCGACAUAGUCGAAUGCCUUCUCCAAAUCCACAAAGAACAUAUGGAUUGGUUGGGCAAACUCCCAUGAACCCUCCAGCACCCUGGAGAGGGUAUAGAGCUGGUCCAGUGUUCCACGACUGGGACAAAAGCCGCACUCUUCCUCCUGAAUCCGAGGUUCUACUAUCGGCCGAAUUCUCCUCUCCAUAACCUUGGCAUAGACUUUCCCAGGGAGACAAAGAAGUUUGAUCCCCCUGUAUUGGAACACACCCUCCGGUCCCCCUUCUUAAAAAGAGGGACCACCACCCCGGUCUGCCAGUUCAAAUCUACUGUCCCUGAUGUUGCAAAGUUAUGUGAGCCAAUACAUCCCCACAACAUCCAGAGACUUGAGAUCUCAUCCACCCCUGCUGCUUUGGCAUCAUAAGAUACAUCCAGCAAAAAAUGUAUCUUAACACAAGCAAAAUGCAUUGACACAUGUUCAGGUUUGCUUCUCUGUUAGUAUCCCCACAGCUGUAGGUCUCUGUCAGUGCAUUAUUGUGAGAACUCCUUGGUAGCCAAAUGAAGAGGCAAACACAGAUGAUGAUGAUGAUGGUCAUGGCAUACAUAUCUGAACCACUUCAAGAGGAAUGCCAGCUUAAGAUCUCCUGCUACCUGACGUCCAUCAAACAUUUCUCUUGAGAAAACACAAAACAAAAGAAAACAAAAAUCAACAUGGGUUAAAGAAGAGAUGCGGCUGCAUCAGAGGGUUCAGGCAGGGAGACGGGCAGAAAACAAGAGAAAUUGGUUUGGGCCCCCGGGAGCUGAAUCGAUCUCCAGGUUUCCUCAAGUCUUCCAGAAAUGGGCCCAGGGAGGUUAGCAGCUGUGACAAAAAUCAAAAUCCAUUUUCUGUGGCCAAAUGUAAUGAGGACCAAAUGGUGGAUGUUCCAUUCAUCUCUCCGGCCUGUCUGAGCACUCUUAGGCCACAGGCAGCAGGCUUGUGAAGGCAGGUGUGAAAGCUGCGGGGAGUCUUAUGAGCAACCGCAUGAUGCUCUAUGUACAGGCAUGGCAUUUUUGCUAGUGUUUUUUAUUGGAUAUAUAGUUAUUUUAUAUGUCUAUUUUUAUUAAAUCACCACAUCAAUCCAUGUGUGUGCAAGAUAAAUCGUUCUGGUUAGAGGUCCGUCUAAUCAGGCAUCACAAAAUAAACUAUAGCUUCAGGAGUGGGACGUUGUUCCCUUGAAAUUGUCCCUAUUUGUGGACAAAAUAGGGUUUGCUUCGCAUACCGAAAAACAACAGAUGAAAAUUGCUCCAGGAUUAUGACUGAGAGCCCCUCUUCAAUCUUCAGAAAGCCCACCCACACAAAAUCUGGCUGAGCAAUUCACUAUGGUGAAGUUAGACCUUUUGUGCGACCAGAAUAUAUUUCUCUCCUUCACAACCGAAUUCAUGUAAAAUGAAUCAACACCCCUCUGUAAUUCCAAAAAUUUGCCACACGGACUGAUUGGGGUCAACGGCUCAGUUUGACAUCAGGAGAGCGCAAACUCCCCAUCAUGAUUGAUUGCAAGCAUAGUCACACAUAUUAUUAUGAAAUGAGUUUAUUAGCUUUGAAUCUGUUGGUUAUGCACUGCUGUUUUAGGCCUUGUGUGCAAUUUUCAGAGGCAAGCGUGGAUCACGAGAGUCAUGAAGGCUUUAUGAUGUCAUUUUGAAACUCUCACCUGGUUUAUCUGAGGAACUCUUGUUACAAUAGUGAUAAAAUAGGCCUGAACUACAGGAGAUUUCUGCCUGUGAUUUGUAUUUAGACUGAACACUCGGGAAUCUCACUGAGCACCAGUCAAGGCUCGUUAUUCCCUCAGAUAAACAGGCAGGUCAAUCAUAGAACACCAAGCCAAGUCCCAAUUCCUCUUAUUUAUGGGGGGGUUACACUUUCUUUUAUUUUGGUGCCAUAUUUAUGUUGCAAUCUUCAUCAUGAUUUAGCAUGGCAGUCAUAAAUCAUAAUUGCAAAGACUGCAGAGGCACCAAUUUACUUGCGGAUAAUAAGGUCUUUGUAUUUAUAGCUACGCUGGCAGUAUAUUUUAUGGUUAUGAUCAUGUGCAUUACACCAGUUCAUUACAAUCAGCAUUAGCUUGAGCUUUUUAAUAGAAUAAGAAGAGUGCCAAAUGCCUGUCUAUUUUAACCUGCCUUUCUAAUAGCCAUAUGAGUCUGAUAACUAAGCAAAGAGCUUGGCGGUAAUGAGUCAUGUGACACCUCAUGGGGUUUUCCAUAACUAUUUGAGUAAAUGUUCGCUCUCCACCAACAAUUCCCUUUGAUGACCCAUUAGAUAUUAUGGGGCAGCCUGCUGUGAGCUCCAUAGUCAUGAUCUUACCAAAUUUGUGUUUAAUGCCCAAGAGACAAACAAUAACUAGAUUUUAAAAACUUCCUGACAUUAUCUCUCAUCUGAAAGUCUAACAAGUUUUGUUGUGAGUGACACUUAAUUUUUUUUUUUUUUAGACAUUAGUGAUAUUGUUGUUGCUACUGGGAACCCCCACCCCAAUGCUUUUAAUCUGACAUUUUAUUUGAUUCUACUUUUGCAUAAUUUGUGCCUUUUUUUUGGUAUUUAAACAACAGAUAUUUCAAUGUAUUUUUUUAUAUUGUAUUUAUGUAUAGAUUAUGAAUAGCCUAUAUUCAAUUUUACAUUUGAACAGUUUUCAUCUAUAUUCCUCUUAUUUCAUAUUUCCAAAUGGAAAGAGGGUCCUUCUCCUUUUGUUUUCAGAGAUUGCAUUUGUUUCAUUGAAUCUUUUGCCACUGAAUCCUGAUCAACUUCCAUUGCAGAUGCUUGUCAGCUGGGGAAUAUAUAAAGAUAAAUGGUAUUAUGUUAAAUUCCACUUAAUGACAAAUUUUUAAUUUUCUGAACACGGUCAUUUUCUGGCUUGUGAAUCAAGUGUAAGGAGCUAAUUACGUGAGGAUCUGAGCAAAAAUAACUCCUCAUCUCAAGGAUAAUGGAACAGAAAUGUUGUAGAUUAAUGGCACUAUUUAUCUUUUUUAAAUUUCUAUCUUUCUCUGGUGAUAGCUGUGCUCCCCAAGGAAAAUAUUCAUAAAAUGAAAUUGAAGUCGUAACUUAAUAGGUUAUUAAAAUUUUUGAGCGCAUAUCACUUCUUCUUUCGCGGCGCUGUAAAUUUAAAUUGAAGUUUGUGGCGUUCGGAGUCACCAGCAGAGUUUUUUAUGAUGGCACAAUAGAGGGGGAACAUGCAUCUUUGUCAGGAGGUAUUUGCUAUUCUAAUUUUAUGGCAGGCCAGAUUAUCAAAAAGGAAUGUCAUGGUGCGGGCUGCUGACAACACCUCAGCCUUCAGCCAUGUGUUUCCAUUAAGCGACUGAGUCGUCCGGGGGUUUGUUCGUCCCAUUAUUUUCCAUUUCUGUCUUUUAUCUUGAUUUAAAGUGAGGCUCACUGCAUAUUCCUGUGCUGUCAUUUCCUUUCCUCUGCCAGAGCCUGAGAUUGGGCAGCACAGGGCGUCUCAGCACAGGGACUCGCUCUCUCUCCAGGGGCCGCGUGUAGAGCGAUUCAAGGUGGAAUAUCUUUAGCCCGCCUAUAUGUUUGGAAACACUGUGCGAAUGAGAGAUGGUGAUGGAAAGAGAGAGGGGCCAUCAUCACCGCCCUGGCGUUUUUCCCUCAAGGUCAUGGGGCCAAAUUUAUUUAUUUCCCUGAAAGUUACGAUGGAAUUUUACUGACUACUUUGCAGUAAUGAUGAGGGACAUCAGCAGCCAUAAAUUUCUCUUGCCAUUUCUUUCGCCAAUGAUGAACCAUUUUUUAUUUAGCCUUCAAGGACGUUACUUACAUGGUAUUUGUAUGGAAGCAGUGUUAUAUGUAAUGAUAUCCAUUUCAUAGCGUCAUAACCCGGUGGGAAAAAAAAAGUAAAGUAAAACUGACUUGGGUGCAUGGUAUUCAAAUUCAUCUGGAGCUAUUGUAAUAAAUAGUAAA